rnacentral:misc_RNA from 1 species
ACGUUGUGGUCUUUGGUGGGUAGAAAUGUUGAAGGCCAGAGAUCAGUACAAGGAGGCCGCCAGUGUAUACUUCCGUAUCUCUGGUGAGGAGCCUCUCCAUUCAGCAGUAAUGCUCGAGCAAGCAUCGUACUGUUACUUGUUUUCCACUCCCCCCAUGUUGCGCAAGUACGGGUUUCAUCUUGUUCUUUCCGGGGACCUGUAUAAAAAAUGUGAUCAGAUAAAACAUGCAAUUCGAACAUACAAAUGUGCUCUUUCUGUUUUCAAGGGAACUACAUGGAGGCACAUUAGAGACCAUGUUCAUUUCCACAUAGGAAAGUGGUAUGGUUUCUUGGGGAUCUUUGAUGUUGCUAUCAAAAAUAUGUUGGAGGUUCUAGCUUGUGGUCAUCAAUCUAAGACAACACAGG